rnacentral:rRNA from 1 species
CGGGCUCUCUGUACGAUCACCGAAGUUAAGCAACGCAGAGCCUGGUCAGUAUCUAGAUGGGAGACCGCUUGGGAAUACCAGGAGCU